UACGUAGGUGGCAAGCGUUGUCCGGAAUUACUGGGUGUAAAGGGAGCGCAGGCGGGGUCUUAAGUUGGAUGUGAAAUGCCGCAGCUUAACUGCGGAGCUGCAUCCAAAACUGGGACUCUUGAGUGAAGUAGAGGCAGGCGGAAUUCCUGGUGUAGCGGUGAAAUGCGUAGAUAUCAGGAGGAACACCAGUGGCGAAGGCGGCCUGCUGGGCUUUUACUGACGCUGAGGCUCGAAAGCGUGGGGAGCAAAC
rnacentral:rRNA from 1 species